GAAGCUUCAAGCCGACAUCACUCAGACUUCGCUACCUCUACUCAUCAUGAACACCGGCAUCGCGAGCCCUCGCUGCUGCCGUCGCCUCGGUGCUGGUAAUGGCUUGUGCUUGCUGUCGGCGCUGGCGUCUCUCUUCGGCCUCGCGAUGCCGAAGCUAAACGGGCUCGUCGACAAGU
rnacentral:lncRNA from 1 species